UACAAACAUUCUUGAUGGAAAACCAUAUGAUUUAACUCUAUGCAGUAUACACACAUCCUACACUGUUUACACCACAGGUCACAGAAAACUGACGACCGAAGAAAUGCAGAAGUUAGAGCAGAAAGAUCAGAAAGACCAGAAAGAAUAUAUGGAUACGAGGUUGGCAUCCAGCAGACUGUUGUUGAAAUGUUCAAGGAGCAAAAUCCGGGUUAAAUUAUUUAACUAUGGUUUGAUAAUCCAUCAUGUUAACCACCUCAUCAAAGAAUCAAUAUUUCAGCAGAAUUAAAUUCUCCAUUUUUGCGCAAAGGAGUUGAGUUUUUGCCACAAACUCAAGUUAUCUAAA